GGUAUGAAGUUCGGAGCGUUCACAUUUUUAUAAGAAAAAUCAUGCUAAUGAUUUUAUGUAAGCAAAACGUGAGGGAUGGAUUGUAUAUAUAAUAGAACAAACCUUCAAGGAUCUUCGCCAUUCAACAAACAGAGUGUGAAGUCCCAGGAAAACACUUGUUAUUGCUAAAAUGGCGAUCAAGACUUGUUGCAUUUCGGUGGAUGGCAAACGAGUCAUGAGCUUCGAGCAGUUCAAGCGGUGGUUAAAAACAUUUGAUGCUGACAAAGAUGGCAAGUUAAGCAGAAAAGAACUUGAAGAUGCCAUACCUGGAGGAUGGUUUACAAGGUGGAAAGGCAAGCCAGGAAUACGCUCUGCAGACUCCAAUGGCAAUGGCUUUAUUGACGAAAGUGAAAUCGACAAUCUCGUGGAGUUUGCUCAAAAAUACCUGGGUGUAAAGAUACUGCAGUUUUAGUACGCUUUGUAGCUCCGGCUUUAUUUUUUACCUCUCCUCUGUAAUAACUAUCCUGGGGUCUCAAUGGACUAUAAAUGUAAAACGAACUGAGUUACAUUCAUCAGUUAAAGCUUGAGCAUUCCAUAAAAGGGCACGUACGUUAAGCUUGACACCAGAAAAAGCAAGCAAGAAGUUGAAGAGAAAAGGCAUGCUGCAUGCAAGCAACUAGCUAUCAGAUCUGAACCAAUGAUGAUGAAUGAUGCUAUCCAUUGAAAAAUUGAAGAUUUUACAUUAAAGUUUCCAGUCAUUGCCUACCCUCCCCAUGGGAUUCCAGUAAACAUGUACGUUGAUUGGAUUACAUUAAUACUACUAUACAAAAUUCUACAUUUACCCUAGUUGAAACAGGAUAAUAG